AUCUGCUACUAAGGGCACAUGAAGGAUGCCUUGGCACUAUCAGGCGAUGAAGGACGUGGUAAGCUGCGAAAAGCUUCGGGGAACUGCACGCGAGUUUUGAUCCGGAGAUGUCCGAAUGGGGAAACCCGGCUGGAGUAAUGUUCAGUCAUCCUUAACUGAAUCCAUAGGUUAAGGAAGCGAUACGUGGGGAAGUGAAACAUCUCAGUACCCACAGGAGAAGAAAUCAAAAGAGAUUGCGUCAGUAGUGGCGAGCGAAAGCGCAAGAGGCUAAACCGGUCGGUUUACUGACCGGGGUUGCGGGACUUCGAUAUGGCAAGCUGAAUCGAUAGCAGAAGGAACUGGAAAGUUCCGGCAUAGAGGGUGAUACCCCCGUAAGCGAAAUCGGUUCGAAGCCUGGAAGUAUCCCAAGUAGGUCGGGACACGUGAAACCCUGACUGAAUCCGGGGAGACCACUCUCCAAGCCUAAAUACUCGAUAGUGACCGAUAGCGUAUAGUACCGCGAGGGAAAGGUGAAAAAGCACCCCGGAAGGGGAGUGAAAAGUAUCUGAAAUCAUGUGUCUACAAAGUGUCGGAGCGCAAGCGACGGCAUGCCUUUUGCAUAAUGAGCCUGCGACUUACUCUAACGAGCGAGGUUAAGCCUGGUGCGGAGCCGAAGCGAAAGCGAGUGUGAAUAGCGCGUCUAGUUCGUUGGAGUAGACCCGAAGCUGAGUGAUCUAUCCAUGGCCAGGUUGAAUCUGCGGUAACACGCAGUGGAGGACCGAACCAGUUCAUGUUGAAAAAUGUUUGGAUGAGCUGUGGAUAGGGGUGAAAGGCCAAUCAAACUCAGUGAUAGCUGGUUCUCUUCGAAAUAGCUUUAGGGCUAGCCUUGCGUAAAUAGUUUGUGGGGGUAGAGCUACUGAUUGUUCGCGGGCCCUUACCGGGGUACCAAGAACUAUUAAACUCCGAAUACCAUAAACCGUACCGCAGGAGUCAGACUAUGGGGGAUAAGCUUCAUGGUCGAGAGGGAGACAGCCCAGACCGCCGGCUAAGGUCCCCAAUCUGGACUUAGUGGUUUGAAGGAUGUGAUGUUGCAUAAACAGCCAGGAUGUUGGCUUAGAGGCAGCCAUCAUUUAAAGAGUGCGUAAUAGCUCACUGGUCGAGUGAUAUCGCGCCGAAGAUGAUCGGGACUGAAGUUCAGAACCGAAGCCGCGGAUCGUGAAUUUAUUCACGGUGGUAGAAGAGCGUUGUAUGCGGGUUGAAGCCGAAGAGGGAUCUGAGGUGGACUGCAUACAAGUGACCAUGCAGGCAUGAGUAGCGAAAAACCGGAUGAGAAUUCCGGUCACCGAAAACCCAAGGUUUCCCGGGGAAGGUUCGUCCGCCCGGGGUUAGUCGGAUCCUAAGGCGAGGCUGAAAAGCGUAGUCGAUGGACAACAGGUUAAUAUUCCUGUACUGCCUUGUCGGAGUGAUGGAGGGACGCAGAGAGUCAGGUGAGCCGGCUGCUGAAUAUGCCGGUCGAAGCCCGUGGGACGUGCUGUUGGCAAAUCCGCAGCACACUAGUCUGAGAGGCGUAAGGUAGCCGAACGCAAGUUUGGCGAAUUCACUGCGACUGCACUGACGAGAAAAGCUUCUAAACGAUGAUGACAGGGUAUCCGUACCGUAAACCGACACAGGUGGGUGAGGCGAGAAGCCUAAGGUGCGCGAGAGAAACCAACGUUAAGGAACUCGGCAAAUUAGCCCCGUAACUUCGGAAUAAGGGGUGCCGCCUCUGGUGAAGGGAUUUACUCCCCGAGCUUAGGGCGGUUGCAAUAAAGAGGCCGGUGCGACUGUUUAACAAAAACACAGCUCUAUGCCAACUCGUAAGAGGAUGUAUAUGGAGUGACACGUGACCAAUGCCAAAAGGUCAAUGGGAGAGGUUAGCGCAAGCGAAGCUUCGAUCUGAAGCCCUGGUGAAUGUCGGCCGUAACAAUAACGGUCCUAAGGUAGCGAAAUUCCUUGUCGGGUAAGUUCC
rnacentral:rRNA from 1 species